UUUUUCACCCAAACUUAUGGCUUGGAUUGAGAUAUGCUUUUCUUUCCCAUUGGUCUGAAAACUAUUAGAAGGAAGACAUCUCUCAAGAGUAAAAACUUAUUGCUUAAUUGCCUCAGCUACCACUACUUCCGGAGUCGUUUGUUGACCUAACUGAGCUGACCAAUCAGAUUUUAGCUAAGAAAGACAAUGGCAGCAGUAUCGUGUUCUCUGAUUGGAGGGCACAAAUUGGUGGCGGAAAUGCACAAAAAAAUGGACAAAAAAAAGGAACCGCAUUGUUCUCGAAGCUCGAACGAUUUCGUUGACAUAUUUGCUCUUUUUUUCAAGCCAAUUGGAGAAAAAACACAAUUAAAAAAAAAAAAAGGAAUCACUAUUAAUUUAAUUAGCAACUGAUGAACCGAAUGAAAGAAAAAGGGAAUGAGUGUUGUCUGAUGAUUGACUUGAAUGACUUCAUCCCCGGCGUGGAUCUUCUUACAGCGGUCGGCCGGAGACUAUAGAAGCCCAGAAGAAAAUGCAGGAAAACAAAACCCUGUGCAGAGCCACCGUGCUGAGUCAAAGGAAAGUGGUCCGAACUACUGGGCCGCACCGCUUCGGCUGCCAAAACAAUGAAUGUAUCCACCCUCUGACCUCCAAACAAACACGCCUCGUGCAGGGUCUUCAUUUCAUGAAAAGAGAGUUUUGCAGUCUUCCCAGACCUCCAGGUGCACACUGCUAAAUUAUGCAAGGAUAACAUCUCUGAUCUGCUGCAAUAUAUGUAAUUCCAAAAAAAAAUAAGCGACAUCUCUGCAUCAUCGUAUCCUCACCCACCUUUCAUCCAGUCCACCACCUGGCCGGCGGUCCACUUGCUGACCGGCUCCAUCACCAGCGCCAUGGGGCAAACUUUCACCCCCUUUCUUCAAGAAAAACCGAUCUCCGAGGGCUGGCCCCAGAAGACCCCCCUCUCCACCAGCGCCACCACCCUCCUCCGGGGCCAGCUCGUCUGCAUGCUGCCUCUCCCCUUCGGUCCUUCCUCUGCGCUUCUGUACGCCGUCACGAGCAAGUGGCAACGGGAUAUGUCGAGGCUUGUGUGUGGAGGUGUGUGCGCGCGCCCGGAUGGGUAAGUCACAGCAUCUCUCUCUCACUCUCUGGUGAACGUGUGCACGCUCCCCGUGGGUGGCUCCACGUACAUCAUGACUUCAAGGCGAUCGUGUAGAUAUGAUGGAGGCAACGUAUGCGACAGGGAAACACUCUUUUAUUUUAUUUUUGCUUCAGUGUGGGGAAAAAUGAUUCCUCAGCUGAUUUCCUCCUCCUGCUUUAUCCCACCCCUCAAUUAUUUCAAGAGGCAGUUGCUCCUUGUGGACUUCCAUCCUUUAGGGCUCUAUUAAAAAGGUCCCAUAUUAUAGUAUUUUCCAACAAUUUUUAAUAGGACUCAGGGGUUCCACAAUAGUGUGGUGUCCAAAAUUGUUCCUAUAUGUUGGAAUCCAGACAGUUCAGAAGUGUUUUACUCAAACAAGCCCUACUGGGGA